rnacentral:rRNA from 1 species
AUUGAACGCUGGCGGCAGGCCUAACACAUGCAAGUCGAACGAGUGGCGGACGGGUGAGUAAUGUCUGGGAAACUGCCCGCUGGAGGGGGAUAACUACUGGAAAAGGUAGCUACUACCGAAUACCCUCGGAUGUGCCCAGAUGGGAUGAGCUAGUAGGUGGGGUAACGGCGCACCUAGGCGACGAUCCCUAGCUGGUCUGAGAGGAUGACCAGCCACACAGGAACGGAGACACGGUCCAGACUCCUACGGGAGGCAGCGGUGGGGAAUAUUGCACAAUGGGCGCAAGCCUGAAGCAGCCAUGCCGCGUGUAUGAAGAAGGCCUUCGGGUUGUAAAGUACUUUCAGCGAGGAGGCGUUACUCGCAGAAGAAGCACCGGCUAACUCCGUGCCAGCAGCCGCGGUAAUUC